AGCACCAGUGGUCUAGUGGUAUAAUAGUACCCUGCCACGGUACAGACCCGGGUUCGAUUCCCGGCUGCUGCACAUAGGAGCUGUGACG
rnacentral:tRNA from 1 species